GACGAACGCUGGCGGCGUGGAUUAGGCAUGCAAGUCGGACGGUAGGGCUUUAUCGUAAGAUAGAGUUUGAGAGUGGCGAACGGGUGAGUAACACGUGGGUAACCUGCCUGGAAGACAGGGAUAACGAUUCGAAAGGGUCGCUAAUACCUGAUAAUAUCCUUUCAUCGCAUGGUGAUAGGAAGAAAGGGGAAACCCGCUUUCAGAUGGGCCCGCGUCCCAUCAGCUAGUUGGUAAGGUAAAGGCUUACCAAGGCGACGACGGGUAGCCGGUCUGAGAGGAUGUACGGCCACACUGGGACUGAGAUACGGCCCAGACUCCUACGGGAGGCAGCAGUUGGGAAUCUUAGGCAAUGGACGAAAGUCUGACCUAGCGACGCCGCGUGAGGGAAGAAGGCCUUAUGGGUUGUAAACUUCUUUACUACGCGAAUAGAGGUUAGUACGAGAUACUAAUAGGAAGGUAGUGUAGUAAAAGACACCGGCUAACUCCGUG
rnacentral:rRNA from 1 species